UACCCUUCUCCUCCUGUACUAGUAAUGGUCAUGCCCCCUUUAUUAUACGUUUCUUAUUCUCCAACAUGCAACCAACUAUUCUGCAUAUUCUCCACCCCCGUGUCAGGUGAUCUUCCUGGUCACUUGCCAUGUUUUUUUUUUUUUUUCUCCCUGCACGUCAUUAGUGCGGGCUCCCACAUGAUGAGAGCAGGGCUUACCUGUCCCUCCCCUCUCCCCACUUGGAGGCAACGCCCCCUUUUCCACACUGACCCAUAGCAACGCAGGCUCCUUUACAGACCCCUCCCACCUUACUCCUCCCCCUCUCCUAUUUAAAAGCCAAACAGCCCCACAAUGUCAGACAUUGCUGGAUGGCUGCAGCAGCUGUACACACUCUACACUGCUUGUGUUUUCUUCCCAUCUUCCGAUCCCUCUACUGACCUCUCUGGCCACUUUUUGUCAUUACAGGUAAAAAUAUAUAUAUAUACAAUCAAUAAACUUUUACGCUGUGACACUUCGGGCCAAAGGUCUUGCUACGCUGUGAUUGAUAUUAGAUGCCAGUCCUCACUCCUCUCCUUACCAUCUGAGGCUUGCCAUGCGUCCCGAUUGCGAUGUCCUUUUAAGGGGUGUGCUGAGCCGUUGAAACUUCUCGGGUGAAAAGUUGUCUGUUACACUUUCUGACUCCACACAUACUUC